UUUAUACGCAGACAAGCUGAUUGGCGUAACGAUGAGCUCGGCCAGAGUGAUGGUUUGCACCAUGGCUUUCGUUCUGGCGGAGAAGAAGAGCCUCAUCAGCUUCCUCGGCCCCUUCGGCAAGCUGUUCACCGCGGACGCCGGUGUUCUCGUCGAUAGUUCUCUCUUCUACAACCCCGAUGUAAUUCAAUGUGUUGAGUAUAAAAAAAAGCGGCCUGGUGAAAGGUAUCUACAUUCAGGGCCUGUUUGGAUUUGUCAUCCUGCAGAUUUGUGCGCUGGGAACUGGGUGGGAUACAGAACUACCAGAGCACUCAGCAUCCAGCUAGCGACCGCACAGCACGUUGGGCGAGUCGCGCAUGACUGACCCGGCGGGCGACGACUGCGGGUCAGCGACUCUGCUCACCAGGGACGCCUUUAUACUUUAUGCACGAAACUUUAUGCUGCUUAUAAGAACAUGCGUGCUUACCGUAACCACCAUGUCCACCAACAACACCAACACGCAGAUAAGCUGAUUGUUGGAGUAACGAUGAGCUCGACUGGAGUAAUAGUUUGCGCCAUGGCUUUCGUUCUGGCGUGCUUGGCAGCCAUGCCGCCUGCAUCCGCAGCCUUGGGAGACGGAGGGAUACUGUAUAUCCCGUCCGCCGCCUCUAUAGCUCACUGCCCCUCCAGCUGCGGGGACGUCAGUAUCUCCUACCCCUUCGGCAUAGGGGCGGGCUGCUUCCGGCAAGGCUUCGAAGUUACCUGCGACAACACCACUCAACCUCCAAAGCUGUUUCUGAUCAGUAACAGCACAACUGAGAUCACUGGGAUAUAUGAUGAUUAUGGGUUUGUUAAGGUCCCUAUGUUCUUCAACAGUUCCUUUGGACCAGGUAGGAACAAUAUGUCUUGGGAGUGGGAGGCUCCCGCUAAGGGUAUUACUAUUACCAGUGGAGGUAACGUUUUCGUUGUCCUUGGAUGUGAUUUUGAUGUCAACUUGUUCGAUUAUGAGAGAAACCCUGUCGGCUCCUGCAUGAGUAGGUGCCACGGGGGGGUAUUGCCAACUCGAGGGCCUUGCAACGGGAUUGGUUGCUGUUUCAUCAGUUUACGGAAUGCCAUGUCAGGCUUUCAGGCAACAUUUUCUCGGGCUGAUGGUAUGGCAGGACAAUCAUCUGCAGGUUCUAUGUACCCUCGCAUCAUGGCUUUCAUAUCAGGUUCCGGUUUGUAUUACACGAAUAACGUGACUGACCUUUUAUUGGGUUGGACAAACACAAGCAAGAUCGAUGGUGCUGUUGUUGAGGUUGCCAUCACGGAUCAACCAAGCUGCGAAAGCGCGCGAAUGAACAGCGCAAGUUAUGCUUGUGCCACCAACAGCAUUUGUAGAAAUGCGUCAUCAUAUGGGGGUUACCACUGUUACUGCUCCGGGGACGGCAGUCCUUACCUUUCCGAAGGUUGCACGCAAGGAGAUUACAACCCCGAGCCUAAAGAACACUGCCGGAGGUCAUGUGGAAACAUGAACAUUUCCUUCCCUUUUGGGCUCGAAGAAGGUUGUUUUGGAAACGAAAAGUUCCGACUUAAUUGUACAGCAGCAGGUGACACGCUUUUUAGCAGAGGAGAUAUACAGUACCGCGUGACUGGUAUCUCAAUAGAAGAUGGAACUUUGAAUGUAACAAACAUGCCAAGCAAUGCGAGCACUGGAAAAGAAAUGAUAAUAGUUUCGACUGACGAGGGCGGAGGUAUGGAAGGCAGCGGCCCGGUGGAAGAUCUAUUUGAUUUUUCUAUGGUAUAUGACAUUGUCAUUAGAUGGGCGGUUAUCGAUUCAACUUGUCAACAAGCUUCGCAGAAUAUUACUAAGUAUGCAUGCCGCAGUGAAAAUAGUUAUUGCCUAAACGUGACCCAUGGGAAAAUAUUUAUGGGAUAUCGUUGCAAGUGUUCUCGUGGCUUCAAAGGAAACCCGUACAUACUGGAAGGCUGCACAGAUAUUGAUGAAUGCUCACUGCCAAACAACUGCAAUGGUAUAUGCCGAAACACGCCUGGAAGCUAUAAAUGCACCCCAUGCCCUCAUAAUAAAGAAUUUGACUCGUCAAAGAGGCGGUGUGUUACAUCAACUAAGCAACGUAAUCUCCUUUUGGGUAUUGCAAUUGGAAUCAGUUGUGGCCUUGGCUCCAUAAUUGUCGCAUUGGGUGUAACUGUACUUGCCAGUAAGUGGAAAAGGGGCAUUCAGAAGAGAAUUAGAAGAGCACAUUUCAAGAAAAAUCAAGGCCUGCUAUUGGAGCAAUUGAUCUCUGAUGAAAGCACCACAAGCAAAACUAAAAUAUUCUCAUUGGAGGAACUAGAGGAGGCAACAAACAACUUUGAUGCUACUCGUGUUCUUGGUCGUGGAGGACAUGGCACGGUUUAUAAAGGGAUUUUAUCUGACCAACGUGUGGUGGCUAUAAAAAAAUCCAAAAUAGUGGAACAAAUAGAGAUAGACCAGUUUAUCAAUGAGGUUGUUAUUUUGUCUCAAAUCAUCCAUCGUAAUGUGGUGAAACUGUUUGGUUGCUGCCUAGAAGAUGAGGUGCCCAUGCUUGUCUAUGAGUUCAUUUCAAAUGGCACUCUGUAUGAACUUCUUCACUCUGAUACUACAGUAAAAUGCUUGCUUUCAUGGGAUGAUCGCAUUAGGAUUGCAAUGGAAGCAGCAGGGGCACUUGCUUAUCUACACUCAGCUGCUACAAUACCAAUUUACCACAGAGAUGUUAAGUCUUCAAAUAUACUCUUGGAUGACAACUUCACCACAAAGGUCUCAGACUUUGGUGCUUCAAGAUCUCUUUCGCUUGAUGAGACUCAUGUGGUUACGAUUGUCCAAGGUACAUUCGGCUACUUGGACCCAGAGUACUAUCAUACUGGUCAGCUUACUGAAAAGAGUGAUGUAUAUAGUUUUGGAGUAAUACUUGUUGAACUUUUGAUAAGGAAGAAGCCAAUUUUUAUCAAUGAUUUAGGUGCUAAACAAAGCCUAUCACAUUACUUCAUUGAAGGACUUCAUGCAGGGUCCCUUGUAGAAAUACUGGAUAAACAAGUUGUGGAAGAGGCAGACCAGGAAGAGAUUAAUGAAAUCGCCUCACUUACAGAAGCAUGCUUAAGGGUCAAAGGAGGAGACAGACCGACUAUGAAAGAAGUAGAUAUGAGGUUGCAAUUUCUAAGAACAAAGAGACUUAGAAAAGGUUUAGCUGAAAAAGAUGCAGAUAUUGAGCCUUUGUUAUGCCCACAAGAUAAGAACUUAUAUGGGCAUAUCGAUCUUGUCAAUGCUGGGAGCUCUGGGUGCUACAGUUUGGAGCAAGAAUUUGCAUCUUUGCCACGCUAAUUACAUUUGCAAGAUAACCGAUGGCUUGCUUGGAUGUUGAAUAUAAUGCAUCUGAGGUAUCAUGUAUUUUAUUGAAGAUUCACAUUAUAUUACUUUCCUUUCGAUGAUACUAUAUCACAUAGAUGCAUUUCACGUGUACAAUAUAUUGUAGACCGCGACUGUUGUAUACUUUUUAUAUUUGUACAUAAGUUACAGUACUAAAGAUAAGCUUGUAUAAGAAAACUGUUGUGGUUAUCAACGCUUGUAUAAGAAAACUGUUGUGGUUAUCAACGAGUCCAGUAACAAUUGGGUGUAAAUUGCCAGUGGCUUAAUAGGUGGUUCCAGUAGACCGCUGACUGAUAUACGGAAUAUGAUUUAAGCUGCAACAUAUU